GAAGAGACGUGUGCGCUAGCAUACGAGGAGGCAAUGGUGGGAUACUACCCUGGCUGUAUGACCAUUCUAACCCGCCACGCUUAGCGCGUGGGGAGACAGUGUCAGGUGGGCAGUUUGACUGGGGCGGGCGCCUCCUAAAGAGUAACGGAGGCGCCCAAAGGUUCCCUCAGAAUGGAUGGAAAUCAUUCGCAGAGUGUAAAGGCACAAGGGAGCUUGACUGCGAGACUGACAAGUCGAGCAGGGACGAAAGUCGGG
rnacentral:rRNA from 1 species